rnacentral:rRNA from 1 species
CUACGGGCGGCUGCAGUGAGGAAUAUUGCACAAUGGGGGGAACCCUGAUGCAGCAACGCCGCGUGGAGGAUGACGCAUUUCGGUGUGUAAACUCCUUUUAUAUGUCAAGAAAAUGACGGUAGCAUAUGAAUAAGCACCGGCUAACUCCGUGCAGCAGGCCGCGGUAAUACGGAGGGUGCAAGCGUUACUCGGAAUCACUGGGCGUAAAGGACGCGUAGGCGGGUUGGAAAGUCAGGUGUGAAAUCCUACAGCUUAACUGUAGAACUGCACUUGAAACUUCUAAUCUAGAGUAUGGGAGGGGGAGAUGGAAUUAGUGGUGUAGGGGUAAAAUCCGUAGAUAUCACUAGGAAUACCUAAAGCGAAGGCGAUCUCCUGGAACAUUACUGACGCUAAGGCGUGAAAGCGUGGGGAGCAAACAGGAUUAGAUACCCCAGUAGUC